UCUCGGUUUGCAUUGCCGGACCCCCUCACCGACCCAGUCCAUUCCUACCUACGUCUUCAGCCACUCGUCUCCGCCCAAGGUGAUACUCAAGCUGCUGCACUAAUCAAGAGCCAACAGUAGCUGCUGCACUUCUCCUCAAGAUUCUUUUUUAUUAAUGGAAUAGUAUAUGAGCUCAGUUUAUUAAUGGAACAGUAGAUGAGCCAGGGUAGAGCCUAGGGGAGGGUUAUGGGUGGUUGCACAUACCGACAUCCGCAUCAUGUCUAGUCAGCUGCUAUCAUUGAAGGGAACUGCAGCUAAAACAAGAGUGCAGGGAAUUUUUUGUGUUAAUUGAGGUGUCUAUCUACAACCGUCAAGUUAUAUGCUAAAACAGUUAUUAAUCUGCUACUUUCUUUCAACAUGGCAGCAAUCUUCGCAAUUUCAGAUUACUGGGAGUACAGGAGCAGUGAAUCUCCAAUUCCAAGUACGUUGUCUUGCGGGUAUAUCUUUGCCUUUUCUAUUGUUUGGUGGUUGGAGAUCUUGACCUGUGUUCUCCCCCUUCAUUGUUCAUGUGAGUGCAUCUCGAUCUUCCCUAGAGGAGCAGCAUCAAAUAUUUUGCCUGGAUGGAGUGGUUGGAGCAGGUGAGGUAGUUUGCUUGCUGGAGAAGAAGAUCAAUCAUGUGUCUAUGGGCUUACAGGGAUGUUGUUCUGUUGUAUGUGCUUUUCUUACCCGUGUACUUUUCUAUUUUUCGUGGGUUUAUACUGUAACAUGCUUAAAGAAGCUGGUAGAACUGAACGUGAAAUGAAGACUCAAAAAUGAAACUCAAGGUGUGCUCUACAAAAUAUGUCUGUUCACCAAAGACUAAAACAGACACAUUUUCUAACUGAGUGUUUUUAAUUGAUAUGAUUAUUCAGUUUAACAAUUGUCAUUAUUUCAUUGGCUUAGAAAAAAGUGUCUGUUCCUCAAU